rnacentral:rRNA from 1 species
GAUGAACGCUAGCGGCAGGCUUAAUACAUGCAAGUCGAGGGGUAGCAAGAUUGUAGCAAUACAAUUGUUGACGACCGGCAAGCGGGUGCGGAACACGUACACAACCUUCCUACAAGUGGGGAAUAGCCCAGAGAAAUUUGGAUUAAUACCCCGUAACAUAGCGAUGUGGCAUCACAUUGCUAUUAUAGCUUCGGCGCUUGUUGAUGGGUGUGCGGCUGAUUAGAUAGUUGGCGGGGUAACGGCCCACCAAGUCUACGAUCAGUAGCUGAUGUGAGAGCAUGAUCAGCCACACGGUCACUGAGACACGGGCCCGACUCCUACGGGAGGCAGCAGUAAGGAAUAUUGGACAAUGGACGCAAGUCUGAUCCAGCCAUGCCGCGUGAAGGAUUAAGGUCCUCUGGAUUGUAAACUUCUUUUAUAAGGGACGAAAAAAGGUCUUUCUAGAUCGUCUGACGGUACCUUAUGAAUAAGCACCGGCUAACUACGUGCCAGCAGCCGCCGUAACAC